rnacentral:tRNA from 1 species
GCUAAGAUGGCAGAGCCCGGUCAACUGCAAAAGAAUUAAACCCUUUAUACAGAGGUUCAAAUCCUCUUCCUAGCU